CCUAAUUGUUCAUGUGAGUCGCUCUGGAUAAGAGCGUCUGCUAAAUGACUAAAA
rfam:Salmo salar isolate Sally breed double haploid chromosome ssa10, whole genome shotgun sequence.